UCCAGCUCUGCUGGAUGCUGACGAGCGGCGGACGGGUGAGUAAUGCAUAGGAAUCUGCCCGAUAGUGGGGGAUAACCUGGGGAAACCCAGGCUAAUACCGCAUACGUCCUACGGGAGAAAGGGGGCUCCGGCUCCCGCUAUGGGAUGAGCCUAUGUCGGAUUAGCUAGUUGGUGAGGUAACGGCUCACCAAGGCCACGAUCCGUAGCUGGUCUGAGAGGAUGAUCAGCCACAUCGGGACUGAGACACGGCCCGAACUCCUACGGGAGGCAGCAGUGGGGAAUAUUGGACAAUGGGGGCAACCCUGAUCCAGCCAUGCCGCGUGUGUGAAGAAGGCCCUCGGGUUGUAAAGCACUUUCAGCGAGGAAGAACGCCUAGCGGUUAAUACCCGCUAGGAAAGACAUCACUCGCAGAAGAAGCACCGGCUAACUCCGUGCCAGCAGCCGCGGUAAUACGGAGGGUGCAAGCGUUAAUCGGAAUUACUGGGCGUAAAGCGCGCGUAGGUGGCUUGAUAAGCCGGUUGUGAAAGCCCCGGGCUCAACCUGGGAACGGCAUCCGGAACUGUCAAGCUAGAGUGCAGGAGAGGAAGGUAGAAUUCCCGGUGUAGCGGUGAAAUGCGUAGAGAUCGGGAGGAAUACCAGGUGGCGAAGGCGGCCUUCUGGACUGACACUGACACUGAGGUGCGAAAGCGUGGGUAGCAAACAGGAUUAGAUACCCUG
rnacentral:rRNA from 1 species